rnacentral:rRNA from 1 species
AGAUUGAACGCUGGCGGCAUGCCUAACACAUGCAAGUCGAACGGGAGUAGCAAUACUCUAGUGGCGGACGGGUGAGGAAUACGUAGGAAUUUGCCCUUAAGUGGGGGAUAACCCGGGGAAACCCGGAUUAAUACCGCAUGACCUCGAAAGAGCAAAGUGGGGGAUCGCAAGACCUCACGCUUUUGGAGAAGCCUACGUCGGAUUAGCUAGUUGGUGAGGUAAUGGCUCACCAAGGCGACGAUCCGUAACUGGUCUGAGAGGAUGAUCAGUCACACCGGAACUGAGACACGGUCCGGACUCCGUACGGGAGCAGCAGUGGGAAUAUUGGACAGUGGG